CGCUUGAUGAUGAAGAUGAUGAUGUCAUCCACAUGGGAAAUGCCAUAAUGACCUUUUACUCUGCUCUCAUUGAUCUUUUGGGUCAUUGCGCCCCUGAGAUACAUCUCAUAGAAGCAGGGAAGUGAGGCCAUCCGGAUCAGGGCAAUCUUAAGGUCUCUCGUCCCCAGAGAGGAUCUGGAGGGAAUCAUCAAUAUUCCUUUUACCAAUUGUAAACACAGGUUUAAAAAUAACUGCACAUUCAAUCUGGUGUUGAAGGCUAUGGCAGAGCAGUUGGCUGAGAAUUAUCAUCACAUCUGGACAGCCAGGAAACUGCAGGAACUGGAGAGUAAAGGAGGGGGCAGUCACCCUCUGCUUGUUCCAUAUGAUGCUCUGAGUGUUAAAGACAAGGGUCGAGUCAGAGCCAAAUGUUUUCAAGUUCUUCC